CCCUGCCUAAGUCCGGUUCUAAAACUCUGGUCUGGUUGAAAAGUCGGGGAGGGAAAACGAGCGCGGGUGCGUUUGAGGAGGGAGGGGUGGGGGAAACGUUUACGGCGUUUUGUGAUCAUAAAUUCAAA